GCCCUCGUAGCUUAGCAGGUAGAGCGUAUGAGUCAAAUUGAUUUGGUAAAGGUCACCAGUUCGAGUCUGGUCGAGGGCG
rnacentral:tRNA from 1 species